AACAUUCAAAUCCUGUUUUUCUUUGGAGAUUCUCGUGAUUAUCAAGGCCGUGCUCUUUUCGAUUGCAAAAGAGGCUGCUAAUAUUGUGUAUUCUCAAAAUCUGAGUCUUAAAAUUUGGUGAGCUGUUGACUACUGAACUUUUGAAGGUUGUUGUUAUUGUGAUAUUUUGUAUUCUGGUGUAUUCUGGAUUGUGAAAAUGGG
rnacentral:lncRNA from 1 species